CACGUAGGGGGCAAGCGUUGUCCGGAUUUAUUGGGCGUAAAGAGCUCGUAGGCGGCUUAGUAAGUCGGGUGUGAAACCUCCAGGCUCAACCUGGAGACGCCACCCGAUACUGCUGUGGCUAGAGUCCGGUAGGGGAGCGUGGAAUUCCUGGUGUAGCGGUGAAAUGCGCAGAUAUCAGGAGGAACACCGAUGGCGAAGGCAGGUCUCUGGGCUGACACUGACGCUCAUGCACGAAAGCGUGGGGAGCAAACAGG
rnacentral:rRNA from 1 species